UGGAAAGUCCCGAUGUGCACGUUUGGGCCUAUGCUGGAGACGCCAAAGUGAGAAGCGUGGCUUGCUUCGGAGCAGAGUUUCCAGUGCCACGGCCGGUGUGGCGCGUCUGGGACAUGUCUGAGCCCCGGCCGCCCUGGCUCUGAAAGGCCUAGAAGGAGCUGGAGGCGGCUCAGGAAUGCUGAGAUCCGGAGCUCCUCUGCACACUCACUGACCUGUUGCUACGGUGACGGUGACGUGCAGAAGCAGUGACACCCGCCUGAGCUGCAGCCCUGUCCACAGAAGGCAGAGAAGAGAGAGCUCAGCCCCGAGAGCCAAGAGCCGGAUGGGAAGUCACCUCGUGUCCAUGGACAGGACUCAGGGGACCGCAGCCCACCGGUCUGCUUGGUGAUGUGAAGGGGAGAGUUCCUGCCUAGCUCUGGCCCUUCGGUGGGGGGGGACGACCCAGCUGACCAGACUGCGUCCCAGAGCCGGGCUCGUACGUUAGCUUCAGUGGCCAGUGCCCCGUUACGCCGAAGGCCCUUGUAAAGGGAGGCUCCCCAAGUGCAUGUAACACAAGUCUUCACAGCAAGGCGGCGUGCAAGAGUUCGUCUCAUCGGAGGAUCUUCGCGCUGUCCUUCCGGAGUAAAAGAGCUGAAGGCGCUUGGGUGGCAAUUAAGCACGAACGCGCCCGUUUCCCGACGGGCCGAGCGUGCGACUCUCACCCAGGGAAAUCUCGCCCGGCGUCAGCGCUGCCCGGACAGGCAAUCGGAGCUUCCGCGGCGCCGAUGCGGGGCGGCUCUUCCAGGGCGAGAGGAAGCCCGCCGGGGGCUUGACCGGCAGGCACGUUUCUCGGGAGGAUGAGGACGAAAGGCCGCCGGCCCCAGCCCGACGUUUUGCCGGUCAGGGUAACAGGUUACACUUCGAGCAGUUCGGAGGCUUCCAAUCGGUGGAAGCGCUGAGAAAGGGGUGCUCGGAAUGAAGAGCAAUCUUGCCCUCACGCGCACUGUGAGUGGUCUUCGUCCAAGCCAGGCUGUGUCCACAAGCUUCCAGCUGACAUUUGGAAGAAAGAUACGCUCCUUCUGAGCUGAUUUUGGAGAGUUCUACAAAUACGCCUCAUGGCCCCGUUCUCGGACCUCUGACCCCACUCCCACGUGAGGGCCAGGACGGAUCAGCGCAGCCCUGUGUGUGGUUCAUGUCUUCCAAGGUUCACAUCAGCUCCUCCAAGAGCUUCAUACCUCCGUGACGACGAAUGUCACUUGGACAUAAAGGGGGUGUGGUUCCGGUGACCAAGAGAGGUCUUCAUGACUUCCCCAUCCUUGAGGGCAGGACCACCGGCUGUCCAGGCGAGUGAAGGGCUGAAUAUACAGUCGAGGGCCAGAUCACCUGCGACCAGAUCACAACAGAACCCCUACAGCCAUCAGCUUCGACCAUGCCCACCCAGGACCUGCUUUCAGCUCGGGACCAGCAGCCCAGUCUGCUCCCCAGACCAGUACACAGGUGCCCCUCUGGCUGACCGCACUGGCAUCCGAGUACCCACACCUUGCACUGGCAGCUCCCCAUCCCUGCCUGCCUCUGAGGCUCUGCUGAACCAGCGACGGGGCUGCACCCCGCCAAGAUCACCCCGCAGCCUUCACUUGCUCUGUCUGGGUGGUCCCCUCUCCACACACAAGGAGUAAGAUGGACGCCUCAGCCUGUGAUCCGUCCCACCACCCUCAUCAAGGACCUCGAAAGCGGCUGAGAUCCUGAUCACAGUCUGGGAUGAGACCCUGAUGGUCUCAGAUUGAAAGGCGCCUACACAGCAGAAUCACCUGGGGGGGCUUCCCAAACAACCUUCGGUAUCUGGGCUCCACUCUCGACGACUUGGGUUUCAUGCAGGACAGCGGCCCUCAAACCCAGGCUGCACCCAGCAGCCUUCCUGGAGGCGGGGCCCGGUGCCCCCAACACUGAGACCCAGAGGACCCCGGGACCCGGGACCCCCAGGAUCCCUGACAUCCUUUCGGGAUCGCUGUUAGCUCACAAGGCUUUCCUUUCCAACACCCAGAUGUAAUCCGCCUCUGCUUACUUCACACCCCACUUUCUCAAGGGUUUCUCGGAGCCCUCGGCAGAGGGGAGCCCCACCCCUGCUCUUCCCGCCCCCUCUGGCAUCCUCUGAGUAAAUUUUCUGGCUGUGGCAAUAUGGUUGCUUGUCUUGAAAAAUAAGUUUCGAUUUACACGUAAUGGGUUUAUUAUGGUUUUUUUUUUUAAUUAGUAAAUAUUUGAAGAUUUCUCUUCAUUGCUAACAUGGUAACUGUUUGGCAGAUACAACUCUCAGAUCACCAGUUCAGGCUCUACCCCUUGCCAGAGCUGUAACCUGUCACCAAACCUCCGUCAUCAUUGUCCCAGCCCAGCUAAAGGGCAUAAUUAACGCCUACUCACAGGGGAACUGAGAGGCUUAACGCAAAGCGGGUUGUUAAGCCCGAGCUAGAACAGGCGCUUAGUACAAGGUUCCUUGCCCCCCUCGCCCUCAGGGAGCAACCGGUCUGUAGUCACCUGGAUUCUGGGCUCAGGGAUCUGGGUUCGUCGAGCCAGUUCUUCUCUGGCAGUGAUAUCAGGGUAUGAGUCCCUCUCGAAGGCCUCGAUGAGCACCUGGUACUGGGUCUUGCUGAACUUGGUCCUUUUGCGUCUCCGACCUCCCUGGGGCGCUGGGACAGAUUCGCACCCAGAAAGAGGAGGUGUUAGUGUGACCCCACGUUUAGGUCCGUUUUGAGACUCGCUCCCCGUCCAAGUCAGCGUGCAGCCUCCCCAAGACGAGGUGUCUGCCUGCAGACACGGGACUCCGGCCCCUCUGAAAAAGCCUCCCAGUCGUCCCGAGCUGCUGCCCCUGGCCGGUGCCCUAGGCGGACAUGCUGGGGACCCUCCCUGAGCUCCCGCACCGACGGCUGCACCUGCUCUCCCCCAUUAGCUGCCCCCCCCCCGCCCCCAAUCCCCGGCUGCGGGCUGCGAGGGCAUCUCGGAGGGCUCGGCCGCUCCGGGAUGGGCACGACUGGGUCUCCCAGCCUCCGACUGCCCACUACCUCUGCUUGUGCCCAAGACACAUGAGUGGGGAGAGAGGCCAAAAACCACAAGAUAAGGAGACUUCGUGUGCAAAAACCCAGCCCAGGGGAUUUCUGUCUGUCAACACGGGUUUUUUCCCCCGUGACCUGGGGAAGCUUGCUGGUCCCCAACCCCGGGCCGGGCAGAGCGGGCUCCCCUCUGACGCGAUUUAGGUCAACACAGAAUCCGCUGUGGAGAAAAGCCCGCAGAAUACACGGCCCGGGGGAAGCCGGGCUCCCUUCCCUCCUGUCCUCCCCAGGCCCCACAGUGCCAGCCAGCACCCCCCACCAGAGGGGACUUGUGGACUGAAAAAUGGUGUCGCCCGUGCUCCUCGAGAGGGCCUUUCCGGGUUUGGUCCGGGGUGUUGGUCUCUCCUCCCAGGUCCCCAAACCAGACGUCACGGUGAGCGACGCCUGAGACCUGCCUGGACCCCACUGCCCGGCCUCUCCGGCCACCACCCCCACCCCCAGGACCCCCCUCUAGGACUCACGGUCUGAAGACAUGACCAAGCUGGAGACUGAAGCAGGUCAGAGGGAUCUCGAGCAGAGGUCAGGCCCGGGCCCGCGACAGACGCAGCCCUGGAUUCAAGCCAGCCUUGUCCCUGACCUGUGGCCAGGCCCCUCCCCUGCCACAGGCCGUGAGGGCGUUUCUGUCUGGCAACCCACACGUGGCGACUCCAAGCUGGGAUGCGCCGUGAGCGGAAGGGAGCCCCGGACAGUGGACGCUGAAGCUGCCGGCAGACCUCGCCGCUGUGUGGGCAGAGCUGGGGAGCCAGCCCCGGCCCUGGGACAGCUGCCUGUCUGCGUUUCCACGGCAACGCACGGAGGGAUGCCAAGCCUCCUGCCUUUAUAGACAAAUGCUUAUGUCCUCUAUCUUUUUCCCAAAUCACCCCCGAAAACAGUUGACGAUUCCUGACCUCUGCCCCUUCCCCACCUCUCUGGAAGAGAGGGCCCAGGACACCUGCGGAGUUGAUUGCUGCCCAGGUGCAGAGGUAGCGCUCCCAGAGGGAGACGCAUUUUGGAGACUGAGGACUGUGCCCUUGGCGGAGAGAGGGCCGGCUCUCCCCUCGCCUUUGUCCAGCGAACUGCCCUGCCUAAGGACAGAGCGUGGCCUUGAUGGGACACUUUGCUGUCUGAGCCUCGGUGUCUGUAACAGUGAAACUCUAAAAGCUUUUGAAAUGCAAACAGACUGGCCCUGGCCCUCUUGGAGCACCACCCAAGGAUUUCAUGGCUCCAGGCAGGAGGGAUACACUAGUCCCAAUGUUGGCUGAGCCUUUUCUCCAAGUUUCUAUUCCUAGAAGGUUAUAACUAUGAGUCAGAAAAUUACCAUAAAUUACCCUGGGGCUGGGGCUGGGGGUAGGCUGAAGGCCAGGGGGGGUUGGGAAAUCACCUCCCCAAGGGGACCACUCCCACCACUGGCAGAGCCCAGAGCCAACAUUGGAACCUGAACCUGAGAGUCCAGACUUUGGGGGUGGGGUGCUGCUGGUCAUGAUCAAGCUUCUGUCACUUGAAAACGGCAGCGGUCUGGGGUCAGGACACAGACAACAACACAGAGACACAGUCCCUUCCUCCACAUCCUAAUUUUGUGAGUUCUCUUAGGAAAAUAUGUCAUACAAAUGAAGUUAAAACCCAACAAUAAUCCCAGUUUUUGAAAUGGUAUAAAACUGGGGCGCCUGA